CCGGAGCACAGCAGAGCCACCGUGCCAGAAUUCCAAAAUUGAUCGAGUAGGCCUUGGGUCUAAUUUUUUGGGUUAUUUGAGACAUGUAUAGGUACCAUAAGUGCGUUUCAGUUCCCGGAAAAAAAAUUCAGGGAACCCAGGGACCGCCCGUAGGCGCAGUGAAAAUCUAGCUUUCGGCGUCAGAUCAAGUAAGGACCCCUCACCCUUUUUUCUAUCAUGGAAUUGAAGUAUGAAUAAAUGAUAAUACUGUAUUUUGUACAAAUUAAACAGAUAUGCAUAAUUAAUUAUGGUUGCUAAUGGAGCCCGAACCGAACAUAUUUCUCUGUCAAUUCCUGUCUGAUUUAUUUUAUAGUUUAAAUGUAUUAUGGUAUCUGGUCUAUUUAUUCUAUGAUUUUAAAUGCAUGAAUCACUACUUACUUCACUACUGUUUGAUUUUGGGAAUAUAAGAUAU
rnacentral:lncRNA from 1 species